rnacentral:tRNA from 1 species
AGUGCGGUAAGCUAAACAAGCUUUCGGGCCCAUACCCCGAAAAUGUUGGAUAAAACCCACCCCACACUA